rnacentral:pre_miRNA from 1 species
AGGGCAAUGAUAUGGACGAGGUUAUAAUAUACUCCUUCGUUCUAAUCAUUGCCAUCU